ACAGAUUGCCAAGGCGAGUCAUAGUGUACUAUCUGUUCUUCUCAGCUUAAUAUCUGAUAAGGGUUCUACUUGGACCCAAGAUAUUAAACUUAUUUUUGCAAGUUGGCGGAGCCAUUGAAGCCUGCUUCACCUCCGCCGCGGGUCUGCCCGGUAUUUCGCUAUCACCGCGAUCGGGCCAGGGUUU